rnacentral:rRNA from 1 species
AACGAACGCUGGCGGCAUGCCUAACACAUGCAAGUCGAACGAGACCUUCGGGUCUAGUGGCGCACGGGUGCGUAACGCGUGGGAACCUGCCCUUAGGUUCGGAAUAACUCCCCGAAAGGGGUGCUAAUACCGGAUAAUGUCUUCGGACCAAAGAUUUAUCGCCUUUGGAUGGGCCCGCGUUGGAUUAGCUAGUUGGUAGGGUAAAAGCCUACCAAGGCGACGAUCCAUAGCUGGUCUGAGAGGAUGAUCAGCCACACUGGGACUGAGACACGGCCCAGACUCCUACGGGAGGCAGAAGUGGGGAAUAUUGGACAAUGGGCGAAAGCCGGAUCCAGCAAUGCCGCGUGAGUGAUGAAGGCCUUAGGGUUGUAAAGCUCUUUUACCCGGGAUGAUAAUGACAGUACCGGGAGAAUAAGCUCCGGCUAACUCCGUG